CUUCAGCCAAUAGUUCCCAUAAAGUAUGAGUCUAAGUGGCUAAGUCAAAGUUUUUGCAUGGCUAAUGAGUCAAAAAUGCGCACUGUGACAACGCGUUUGACUACUGGGGGAAAGGAACCAUGGUCACUGUUUCAUCCGGAGCCUCAUCGGUGCCGACGUCCAUCUUCUCACUGUCACAGUGUGGAUCUGACGGUGGAUUCGUGACUCUGGGUUGCGUUAUGUCAGGAUUCUUGCCAGCCGACUCACAGAAGUUUAAAUGGAAAGACCCAAGUGGACAAGACCUUACUGACUUCAUACAAUACCCAGACAUUCCCAAGGAUGGAAAGUACUCCAAGAUCAGCCAGAUUCGCGUACCGGCAGCAGACUGGGAAGCAAAGAAAACUUUCACCUGUGAAGUGGACGGUGCCACCGCCAAGACGCCUGGAGUAACUACGGCUGGUGUAAAAAAGCCAGAAGAAAUCCUGCAUAUUCCAACUCUGUAUUUAAUGAAGCCUACGAGCGAAGAGAUAGAGCAAAAUAAUACUGCUACCUUUGCCUGCUUAGCUGCUGCCUUUUCUCCACCUGGCCACACAUUUAAAUGGAAGAAAGAAGUAGGCAUUGAGGUGACGGAAGUCCCCGCUACAUACAGUUUCACGUCCUCAUCGAAUGGCAAUAACUCUGCUAUCAGUUACCUUCAAGUCGAAGAGAGUGUAUGGAUGAACCCGGGCACAAAAAUUACAUGUGUCUUUCAGCAUAAGACUGGAGAAAAAAUCAAAUCAGUGGGAUAUAGCCUCAGCGAUGAUGACUGUGAUGGUGAUGACAAAAUAGCUAUAGAGGUUAACAUCAAGGCCCCCUCUACUGAGGAUCUUCUCGUUCGUAAGGAAGGAUUUGUUGAGUGCAAAAUUACUGGCCAGAUUUCAGGCGUUCAGAAAGGUGACUUGGAAUGGAGGAAAAAUGGACAAUUUAUUAAAUGGAAUAGUGACCCUGGCCUCAAGGAGGUGGACAGCAGCCUCAUUAUGAAGCUGAAAGUUACAUUUGAAGAAUGGGAGAAUGGCACAGAGUUCAGCUGCUUUGUCCCUCAUGAGAAGGUUCCUUCAGGAAUAACAAAGACCUACAGACGACAAAAUGGGGGAAGUCACCGUAAGCCCUCGGUCUUUCUAAUACCUCCUCCUGAAAACGAGCAGAGCGAGGAUAUGACCCUCACUUGCUAUGCGAAAGAUUUCUACCCCAAAGAGGUGUUUGUGUCUUGGCUUGCUAACGAUGAGCCAGUGGAUAAGUCCCAACAGACCGAUGUCAUAAAUAGUGACAAUGCCGAUUCUGAAACGGCAUACUCGGUGUACAGCCAGCUCACCAUCCCUCAAGUAGAUUGGCAGAGCGGAGUGGUGUUUAGCUGUGUGGUGUACCACGAGAACAGCGAUGCCACCGUCCGAAUGAUUACGAGGUCCAUUGACAACAGCUCCCAGAAGCCGAACGUAGUCAGUCUGAGCAUGAACGUCCCGCAGUGCAGAAGCAACUGAGGUGUCAGUGCAUUUGUGUGUGCAUGUGUGUAUGUGUGUGUGCCACUUUUGUGUUCCUGCAUUCUUGGUUCCAUGUGUAUUGAAAAGCUGUUGUGUAUGUGUAAUAAUGUGUGCUUCCCUUUUUCCUUUGCUUGUGUGUACCUUUUCUGAAGAUCCCUUCGUUUGGCAAAUAAAAAAGCAUAUCAUUA